GCCUCCCGGCGGGCAUCGAGGGCGGCCCCUGCCGGGGAUGUGGGCUGAGCUGAUUGGCCAGGGCGCCUUAAAGGGGCCGCGGCGGGAAAGCGCCCGGGGCUGUGGCCGUGUCAGGUUGUGUCGCGUUGUGUCGCGUUAUGUCGCUUUGUGUCGCGUUAGGAGUAUUUUCACGCCGUGUGCAGCCGUGCAGAGCCGUGGCACGCCGUGGCGUGCUGUGUCACACCGUGUCACGCUGUCUGACGCUGUGCCCUGCCGUGCCCUGCCUGCUGUGCCACACCGACACCGAGCCCCUCGGGAUCUGAACGGGGGGUUUGAGUGGAACUCGUGGGAUUUUCAGUUGUUAGUCAGUAGCUGAUUUGAUACUCAAGGGCAGUCUGGCCGAGAGGCACCAGGAGUGAAGUCAGAGAACUGAACAGUAACUGACGAAAAGGUAAUUUUGGAAAUGUGAAAUCACAACCACUGAUACAUUGACCGCCUGCUCCAAACAGACCUCAGACUCAAAUGGAGGGAAGAACUCUGCCUGUGGACAAAUUAGCAUGAAACACGAGAGAUAUAACUAGCAAAUAGGGGAUUGAGUACUAAUUAACAAAAAAUUUCUGUAAUUUGCAACCAAUGAAUGCUAAUACCUUUGUUAAAAUGUAUAAAUAGUGUAAAGUCUUGAUGAUCGGGGAGCCAGCCUUUUGUGGGUUAUCACCCAGCUCCCUACUUUGUGCAAAUUAGAAAUAAAAUAUAAAUACCUCUCCUUGG